rnacentral:rRNA from 1 species
GCAAGUCGAACGGCAGCACGAGGAGCUUGCUCCUUGGUGCGAGUGGCGGACGGGUGAGUAAUACUUAGGAAUCUAUCCAGUAGUUGGGGAUAACGUGUGGAAACGCACGCUAAUACCGAAUACGCACUACGGUGGAAAGAGGGGGCUCUUCGGACCUCUCGCUAUCGGGUGAGCCUAAGCCGGAUUAGCUAGUUGGUGGGGUAAUGGCCUACCAAGGCGACGAUCCGUAGCUGGUCUGAGAGGACGAUC